GGAGAGGUGGCGGAAUUGGUAGACGCGCUACUUUGAGGUGGUAGUGACAGAAAUGUUGUGGGAGUUCGAGUCUCCUCCUCUUCAC
rnacentral:tRNA from 4 species